rnacentral:rRNA from 1 species
UACGUAGGGGGCAAGCGUUGUCCGGAAUCAUUGGGCGUAAAGAGCGUGUAGGCGGCCCGGUCAGUCCGCCGUGAAAGUCCAGGGCUCAACCCUGGAAUGCCGGUGGAUACUGCCGGGCUGGAGUCCGGAAGAGGCGAGUGGAAUUCCUGGUGUAGCGGUGAAAUGCGCAGAUAUCAGGAGGAACACCAAUGGCGAAGGCAGCUCUCUAGUACGGUACUGACGCUGAGACGCGAAAGCGUGGGGAGCGAACAGG